rnacentral:misc_RNA from 1 species
GUUUCGAGGCGAGUGGUUGCGAUUUUCCUCAUGAUGACAAUAGCCGAUUUUAGCGAUCAACUCUUCGGAUUUCAAGAUUCAUUAUUCGAAAAUUCCAACGGACGUCUCGAAUUCACAGGUAACAAUUACAAAUCCCUCUGGCCAGGAAACGGAAAACCUGGAUUAUGGAUGAACUCCGCAUCAAGAAUGGGAGCAAUAUACUCCCUGAUCGUGAGAGAGGAAUCCAUUUUAAUCGCAAAUAGAAAAAGAAACGGCGAAUUAGGGCUGAAAGCAGAGAGAGACGAAGAUUUAGAGCUGGUAA